rnacentral:rRNA from 1 species
UGCCCAGACUCCUACGGGAGGCAGCAGUGGGGGAUAUUGCACAAUGGGGGGAACCCUGAUGCAGCGACGCCGCGUGGGUGAAGGAGCGUUUCGGCGCGUAAAGCCCUAUCGGCAGGGAAGAAGGAGGACGGUACCUGACUAAGAAGCCCCGGCUAACUACGUGCCAGCAGCCGCGGUAAUACGUAGGGGGCAAGCGUUAUCCGGAUUUACUGGGCGUAAAACGAGCGCAGGCGGGUUAACAAGUUUGGUAUGAAAGGCUUUUGCUUAACGAAAGUUUGUAUCAAAAACUGUUAAUCUAGAGUGUAGUAGAGAGUUCUGGAAUUCCAUGUGGAGCGGUGGAAUGCGUAGAUAUAUGGAAGAACACCAGUGGCGAAGGCGAGAACUUAGGCUAUCACUGACGCUUAGGCUCGAAAGUGUGGGGAGCAAAUAGGAUUAGAUACCCCGGUAAU